rfam:Oryza glaberrima chromosome 4 Oglab04_0190_6, whole genome shotgun sequence.
UUUAACCGUAACCAUGAGUUUCCGUGUCCACUUUAAUCGUUUGUCUUAUUUAAAAUUUUUUUAUGAUUACUAUUUUUGUUGUUAUUAGAAGAUAAAACAUGAAUAGUACUUUUUAUAUGACUUAUGUUUUAAAUUUUUUUUAAAAAAACUAAAAUAAGACGGACGAUUAAAAGUUGGACAUAAAAACUCAUGGCUGCGCUUAAA